rnacentral:lncRNA from 10 species
AAGUAGCACCCCCUUUCCUGCCCCAUUCCAAACAAAUUGAGAAAUAAAAGGCAUAAAGGUGGCGCCAAUUGUUUCUGUAACAUUGGAGGACAUAGUUUAAUGUACAAUUACAGUGGUUCUAUUUUUUAAAUCCCAUAAUUAGACUGAUAUACCUACCCAAUAAGAGGCAAAACCGGGCCAGGCAGGCCUCCUCACAUCAAAGCCUGCCAAGGUAAGACUUAGGUUUUAAGGAACAGAGAACACCUACUCCCACGCAGGCACUUUAUUGCCAAGAAGGUAAUGAAAACAGCUAGGUUGAGCAUGCCCAGUUUAAUUCUCCAAUGAGAUACUCUCCUCCUGCCUUGGGAAGGAUAUAGUGGAAAGGAGGUAGAUCAGGUAUGUAAUUACCAGUGAUACUUUCUCCAUUAAGAAUGAAACAUUAGGAGUGAGGAAGAAGUCCUCCCCCUAACAAUAGUCUUCAAGGUCCCUUCCAAUUCUUAUUUUUUAAGACAUACUAUGUGCCACACCUGUGUUAGAGUCUGGGAACCCAUAGACAAGAGAAGAUACAAUCCUGUACUCAAGGACUUUAAGACUAAGUGAAUAGGCAGACAAGUAAUUAUGCAAUUACAAUGUGAUGUCACAAUAUUUCAUGAUUCUCUGAAGACAAUUCUAUGGGAAAUUGAAGUCUAAGAUGUCAAACAAUUGAUGCACAAACUUAAUCAAGGUAUACCAAGACCUCUGGCUUCUUCCCAGAAAGCUGCUAAAUAUCAGCAAGGACAUGGCUAGAGAUCUUGAUUCUCGCUUUUUUUGAUGUUUCUAUGAAAGAACCAAGAGAGAUUUCUUCAGCAGACAGUGUUUCCAAUGAGUGAAUUUUCUUUAAUAACUCCAAAUUCUUCAGGGAAAACUUCCACCCACACAGCAGUGAUGACUGCUGGUGCUCUGAGGGAAUUACGGCACAUAGUAAUAAAAGAUGUAUAGAAUUUCUACAUCAGCAACGUGAAGUCCAGCCCAGCACCCUAGUAUGGAGAACAGAUGGAGUUCCAGAAGGUAGAAGCCCAUACCGGAACUGGGGGCAGUGGAGGGGAUGCCAUGUGGAAAAUUGGUUGCCAAACUGAGGCCUCAGAAAUGAAUGUGAAAUAAACCUUCUCCUUCACAAAUAUUGUAGAGAGAGUAGAGCCUAUGAAGUUGGAGGAGGUUGCCACACGGAUUAUACUCAGUA